CCUACGGGAGGCAGCAGUAGGGGAUAUUGCACAAUGGGGGGAACCCUGAUGCAGCAACGCCGCGUGGGUGAAGAAGCUCCUCGGCUCGUAAACCCCUGUCAUCAGGGAAGAUAAUGACGGUACCUGAAGAAGAAGCACCGGCUAACUACGUGCCAGCAGCCGCGGUAAUACGGAGGGGGCAAGCGUUAUCCGGAUUUACUGGGCGUAAAGAGGGCGCAGGCGGGAAUGCAAGCCAGAUGUGAAAGCCUGGGGCUCAACCCCGGGACUGCAUUUGGAACUGCGUGGCUGGAGUGCAGGAGGGGUAGGCGGAAUUCUUGGUGUAGGGGUGAAAUGCGUAGAUAUCAGGAGGAACACCGGUGGCGAAGGCGGCCUGCUGGACUGCAACUGACGCUGAGGCCCGAAAGCGUGGGGAGCAAACAGGAUUAGAUACCCCUGUAGUC
rnacentral:rRNA from 1 species